GAUUGAAGGAGAGACACGGCUCGGUACCCGCUGAAAGAAGCGGGAAGAGAGACGUAAAUGGAGGGAGGGGAGAGCUGAUGAAAAUGGUCAAGUACUUCAUGAAAAUUACAGACAAAUAAGAGCAGGAAUAGAAAGAGCCUCAACCUCCAGAGGAACACUCUACUUGAGAUGACACUGCUGUAGGCUGAAGAAGCAAACCUCAGAGCAAAGG